UUGUAUAAAUUAAUAGAAAAAAAACUUUUAAAAAACAUUUUAAAUGAUGAGUAAGCUAAUAGCCUAAUCUUUUAUUACCCUCACAGUGCAUCAUGCGGUGAUGCGCUAUUAAAUUAUUGCGGGGCAAUAAUUUUGUGUAAUUUAAUAGUAAAAGUAAUCUAAUAACAAUAAUAAUAAUAGGACAAAUAAUAAGAAGAAUGAAUCAGGCCUGCAUUAAUUGGACAUGUUAAAUCCUCUUAAUAUUGCCAAUUUUUUUAUGCUUAUUUCUGGCUAUCAUGGACACAUGAUACCAUGCAAAUCAGCACGGGGAGGUUAUCACCCACAAUGUGUGCUCGUGUGGAAAUAGUUUUAUGAAUUUUAUACAUAUUUGGUAGUUGGCAUUAGUAUAUAAUAACAGGGGCAUAUGAGAACACAUCGUCGGGUAUCAUAAAGGAGUCAACAAUGUUGGAUUCCACAUACCAGCCUGAUAUCACUCAAGAGGACAGUCAAAAGGUUUGCCAACCCCUCUACAGUGCAGCAAAAAUACAUAGUGUAUGAGGACAACUUGUUGGCCCUAUUUAGAAAGUGUCCGACAUGUAUGCACACCUGCACUGUAAACAAAUUUGUGAUUGUAACAUUUAUGUCAAUCACACAGAUAUGUUCUCACUGUGUCCACAAAACCCAGUGGAACAGCCAGCCGUACGUCAGUAAUAUCCCAGCUGGCAAUCUGCACUUGUCAGCGGCAGUAGCUUUCACUGGGGCAUCAUACAUACAAGUUCACAAGGUUCUCUCAGCUCUGCGCCUUGUCCAAGGACAUUUUUCAACCAUCAAAAGGCUUUCCUCAUACCAAACAUUUUGUGGCACUGGAGGUCAGAGCAAAAAACACUUGUGGAACAGGCAAAGCUAUCUGGAAAGGCCAUGGUUUUGGGAGGUGAUAUGAGAGCUGAUUCACCAGGGUUUUUUUUAUUUUUAAUUUAACUCAAACAUGAAGCACUAUUCUUAUUUUCAAUAAUAAGACCCUAAAAUGGCAAAUUACAAAAUAAGAUUUUAGAUCCAAAGGUGAUAUCUUGCCACUUAUUUAAUUCAUAAAAAUUUUAACUAGAAACACAUCAACACAACAUUUAUUUUUUACCAUUCUCUGCUAAAGGACAUUGUGCAAAGUACGGUAGCUACACAAUGAUGAGCUUGGAUGACAACGGGGUGGUAGAGACAUUCAGUUAGUGCAGAGUAACGAGGUAGGUGCAAGCUCUCGGAUGGAACUGGAAGGUUUUUUGAGGAGCAUCAACUUCUUAGAAUCUGAAGGUAUGAAGAUCGGUGCACUUGUCACUGAUCGCCAUCCUUCGAUUCAGAAGUUCCUCAGGGAGCAGCGACCUGACAUCCAACAUUAUUUUGACACGUGGCAUGUCUCAAAAUGUUUGUACUUUUCAACGUGAAUUAGAAAUUGACAAUUACGGCUAUCGCAAUGAAGGAAUUUCCCUUGCAGUAAUUCUGAGAGGAUCAAUAUCAAAGUUUGCAAUAUUAACAUCAUCUGUUACAUAAAUAAGGUGGUAAAUUUGCAAUAUGAUGUAAGAGCGGAGAAUUGAGUCAGGACAACCUAUAAAUGUUGCAUGAAGGGGAGAGUUGAAUUAAAUAAUUUUACAUGUUCUCUGUGUUAAUUGUCCAAUAUCUC